rnacentral:rRNA from 1 species
AACGAACGCUGGCGGCAUGCCUAACACAUGCAAGUCGAACGAGACCUUCGGGUCUAGUGGCGCACGGGUGCGUAACGCGUGGGAACCUGCCCUUAGGUUCGGAAUAACUCCCCGAAAGGGGUGCUAAUACCGGAUAAUGCCUUCGGACCAAAGAUUUAUCGCCUUUGGAUGGGCCCGCGUUGGAUUAGCUAGUUGGUAGGGUAAAAGCCUACCAAGGCGACGAUCCAUAGCUGGUCUGAGAGGAUGAUCAGCCACACUGGGACUGAGACACGGCCCAGACUCCUACGGGAGGCAGCAGUGGGGAAUAUUGGACAAUGGGCGAAAGGCUGAUCCAGCCAUGCCGCGUGAGUGAUGAAGGCCUUAGGGUUGUAAAGCUCUUUUACCCGGGAUGAUAAUGACAGUACCGGGAGAAUAAGCUCCGGCUAACUCCGUG